UACGUAGGGUCCGAGCGUUGUCCGGAGUUACUGGGCGUAAAGCGUGCGCAGGCGGCGCGUUAAGACAGGUGUGAAAGCCCCGAGCUUAACUUGGGAAUUGCGCUUGUGACUGGCGUGCUGGAGUGUGGCAGAGGGAGGUGGAAUUCCACGUGUAGCAGUGAAAUGCGUAGAGAUGUGGAGGAACACCGAUGGCGAAGGCAGCCUCCUGGGCCAGCACUGACGCUCAUGCACGAAAGCGUGGGGAGCAAACAGG
rnacentral:rRNA from 1 species